CCCCUUGAAGACGACGAGGUUGAUAGGCCUGAGGUGGAAGUGCAGCAAUGUAUGGAGCUGACAGGUACUAAUCGGUCGAGGGCUUAUCCAAAAAC
rnacentral:rRNA from 1 species